rnacentral:snRNA from 1 species
CUGCCACGGUGGCACAUAUGCUAAAAUUGGAUCGAUACAGAGAAGAUUAGCAUAGCCCCUGUGAAAGGAUGACAUGCAAAUCUGUGAAACGCUCCAUCAUUUU